AAGGACCGAAGGGUGGGAGUUUCGCCCCCAUGGGCCGCAGGUCCUGAGGAUUAUAUCACACCGUCUUGAUUGCCAUUUUAUUCGUGAGAUCCGAUCAGCCCAGGUGAUCUAUGUAAGAAUUGGACUAAAUGUGGAAAUCCACUUCUGGAAAAUGUCUGACAGCCACUCUUUACCACUGUUGCCUGCAACAGAGCUGGUCACGCAUCGCAAGGGAUUAGGACCAAAAUUGAGGCAUCCAGCACCCCGUGUUUCCCACCUGGGUGGAAAAGCGGAGGGAAGCGCCAGGGCGGAACUGGCUGCUGUGUCUCAAGGACUCUAGGAGAAGCCUCGGUCCCCGGGGCGGCAAAGGGGACCCGAGUGAGGCUUGAGGACUUAGAAAUGACAAUGGCGCCAGGGAGCGUCCCAGAUACCGGCUUCCAAGCGGCUAAAGCGGCUGAGGCGCGAAGAAGAAGCAGCUGCCUCGCUUCAGAUAGACGGGCACUUGCUGUCCCCUGCCGAGCCUGGAACAGGCUGCUCGCCGGGACCACGGCCUCCUACUGCCUCCUCUCACCACUUCAAGAGACACCAUCUCCUAAAGACUCAAAGGUGAAAAGCAAAACCUGAACGCGGCCAUGAGCCGCAUCCAGGAAAAGAAACACCUGCGACGGCUCUGCGCCUCCCCCCGCCCCAUUGCAUGCCUCCCUCCUGACACCCCUUCAAAGGCAUACGGGGACACAGGUCCCCGCAGCCUCGUGGCCACUGCUUCUCAUCACGCUGGCUGCACAUCCCAGCCGCAGGAGCACCAAGUCAGACGGGGAAACAACCACAUGGCACAGCCCUGCUGCUCAGGACAGGCUCAGCGCUGACAAGACUGGUGGUGGAGAGAAAUUGCCAAGAUGCUAAGAAACUUGAGAAGCCACCUCUGCAGCAGGGCUGGGACGGGUGAGGGGAAAAGAACUUACUUUCAUUUUAUACUUUUUCCAUG
rnacentral:lncRNA from 1 species